AAUCAACGCUGGCGGCGUGCCUCAGACAUGCGAGUCGAACGAUUAAAGCUCUCUUCGGAGAGUGCAUAAAGUGGCGCACGGGUGAGUAACACGUAAGUAAUCUACCUUCGAGUGGGGAAUAACGUCCGGAAACGGACGCUAAUACCGCAUAACGCAGCGGCAUCGCAAGAUGACAGUUGUUAAAGAUUUAUCGCUUGAAGAGGAGCUUGCGGCAGAUUAGCUUGUUGGUAAGGUAACGGCUUACCAAGGCUACGAUCUGUAUCCGGUCUAAGAGGACGGUCGGACACACUGACACUGAAUAACGGGUCAGACUCCUACGGGAGGCAGCAGUCGGGAAUUUUGGGCAAUGGGGGAAACCCUGACCCAGCAACGCCGCGUGAAGGAUGAAGUAAUUUCGGUAUAGUAAACUUACGAAAGAAUAGGAAGAAUUAAUGACGGUACUAUUUAUAAGCUCCGCUAACUCCGUGCCAGCAGCCGCGGU
rnacentral:rRNA from 1 species